AAACCAUGAUGUGGACAUUCCAAGAGGAGGUCUUUGAAUCGUUUCAUACAUCAAGAGAAUGAUUCAUUGGGUCACUGGCGAAACUGGAGAAUGUCAUUCCUAAGUUU
rnacentral:snoRNA from 1 species